rnacentral:lncRNA from 1 species
GAAAAAGCCCAUGAAGUAAAAGCUUGAUCUGCACGCCAAUGCUUAGGUGACACUAAAAAUACACACCCACUUUCAUAAGGGAUAUCGCUGAAAAAACAAGGUUUUGCCAUACAACUUGAGAGGUUUGCAGUUUUGCUUUAUAAAUGCAGUAUACCUGCAAGUUUGUUCCACACUGCUAAUUUACCUUACUAUCUCAGACUCUGCAUCACUUGUAAAUAAGGAUUAUAAAGUAAGUUAUUGCUCUGAAUGUGUUUCUAUUACAAAGCAUGGACAGAAUUUCCCCCCCCCCACACACACACACACACACACACACACACACACACACACACACACACACACACACACACACAUAUCUUUCCAAAGAAUAGUAUUACAACAAAUACUACAUUUCCCUACAGUAAAUUCUAGAUUUUAGUCAGAGUUACAGUGAGCUCCAAAAGUAUUGGGGCAGUGACACUUAUUUUUUCUUUUUUUUACUCUGAUCUCCAGCUCUUUGGAUUUGAAAUUAUACAAUGACUACAAGGUUAAAGUGCAGACUGUCAGCUUUAAUUUGAGGGCAUUUUCAUCUAUAUCGUGUGAAUGAACCGUUUAGAAAUUACAGCACUUUUUGUACAUAGUCCCCCCCAAAAAUUUUGGGACAAAAUUCACAGGAGGCUGCUGAGGGGAGAACGACUCAUAUUAAUAGCCGAAACAGAGCAAAUGGAAUGGCAUCAAACACCUGAAAACCAUGUGUUUAAUGUAUUUGAUACCAGUCCACUAAUUCCGCUCCAGCACAUUCUCCCCAAUUAAGGUGCCACUUAUACGUAUAUUAAAGUAGUUCAAUGUUUUGUUAUAUGGGCCCAUAUUCCUAGCACACCGGGAUUACGUCAAGUGUGUGUGAGUCUACAAACUAGUUGGAUGCAUUUGUUGUUUGUUUUGGUUGUUUCAGAUUAUUUUGUGCCCGAUAGAAAUGGUAAAUAAUGUAUUGUCAUUUUGGAGUCACUUUUAUUGUAAAUAAGAAUAGAAUAUGUUCUGAAGACUUCUACAUUCAUGUGGAUGCUACUAUGAUUAUGGAUACUCCUGAAUAAUGAUGAGUGGGAAAGUUAGAUGCACAAAUAUCAAAUAAAAGUGACUCAAAUUACACAAUACAUAAUUUACCAUUAAUUUCUAUUGGGCACAAAAUAAUCAAACAACAAAUGCACAAGUUUGUAGAGUCACAAGCUUGAUGGAAUCAUUGCGUUCUAGGAAUAUGGGACCAAAUACUACACUUUUGACUACUUUAAUACACAAGUCCAUUUGUCCCAAUACUUUUGGUCCCCUAAACUGGGGAGACAGUGUACAAAAAAGUGCUGUAAUUACUAAACAGUUAAUACCAUCAAAUGGAAGCUGUCAGUCUGCACUUUAACCUCAGUCAUUGUAUCAUUUCAAAUCCAAAGUUCUGGAGUACAGAGCCAAAACAACAAAUCUCACUGUACUUUUG